rnacentral:rRNA from 1 species
GAUGAACGCUGGCGGCGUGCCUAAUACAUGCAAGUCGAGCGAACGGACGCUAAGUUUGCUUCUUUGUUGUUAGCGGAGCACGGGUGAGUCACACGUGGAUAACGUACUUAUAAGACUGGGAUAUUUUGGGGAAUCCGUAGCUAACACCGGAUAAUAUCUUGAUCCGUGUGGUUCAAUAGUGAAAGACGGUCUUUCUGUCAGUUCUAGAUGGAUCUCCGCUGCAUUAGCUGGUUGGUAGGUACACGGUUUAUCACGGCAACGAUGCAUAGCCGACCUGUGAGAGGGAUCGGCGGCACGAGAGCGGGGACACCGUCCAGACUCCUACGAGAGGCAGCAGUAGGGAAUCGUCCGCAGUAGGCGAAAGCCUGACAGAGCGACGCCAAGUGUGAGAUGGAGAUCUUCGGAUCGUAAAACUCGGUUAUUAGGGGAGAACAUAUGUGUAAGUAACUGUGCACAGCGUGACGGUACCGGGUCAGAAAGCACCGGCUAACUACGUG